CCUACGGGCGGCAGCAGUGAGGAAUAUUGGUCAAUGGGCGAGAGCCUGAACCAGCCAAGUCGCGUGAAGGAUGACGGCCCUACGGGUUGUAAACUUCUUUUGUCAGGGAGCAAUUGAGUCCACGUGUGGUCUUAUCUAUGGUACCUGAAGAAAAAGCAUCGGCUAACUCCGUGCCAGCAGCCGCGGUAUUACGGAGGAUGCGAGCGUUAGCCGGAUUGUUUGGGUUAAAAGGGUGCGUAGGCGGAAUUUCAAGUCAGCGGUAAAAAUUCGGGGCUCAACCCAGGCGUGCCGUGGAAACUGAUGUUCUGGAGUGGGCGAGAAGUAGGCGGAAUGCGUGGUGUAGCGGUGAAAUGCAUAGAUAUCACGCAGAACUCCGAUUGCGAAGGCAGCAUACCGGCGCCCAACUGACGCUGAAGCACGAAAGCGUGGGUAUCGAACAGGAUUAGAUACCCUUGUAGUC
rnacentral:rRNA from 1 species